UGGUUUUCGCAGUGUAGGGGGGUUGCCUCCGAGUAUCGCAUCCAACUCUUUGUAGAACCGGCAGCUCGUGAGCGCAGCACCAGAGCGGCAGUUUGCCUCCCGCGCCUUGUGUGCUAAUUUAAAAGAGAGAUCUAAAGGGAAAGAAUUCAAAAAGCUUCUGAGAACCUGAGAGAGAACCUAAUGAGCUAUGAAGUCCUCUGUGGACAUUGCUAUGCGGAUAUAAAUUUGCGUGCUUAGUUGUUUGAUAAUGUUGUGAUGGGUGGCUAGAGUAAAAGGAGACGCCUCUGCAGCAGCUGCAAACAUGGUCUUGAGGGUCUCUCCAUCCACACUGGUGCAACAACUCGCCAGACAAAGAGGAGAAAGAAGAGGACAAGGGAAGACAUGUUCUAGGAUGUCCUGAAAGCCUCUGGUGCUUCGGAUUGUGAGCAGAGGGCUUGAAGCAUGGCAAUCAAUGCCAAAAUGCAGAAGGGGACAGGAAAAACGGGCAGCAAGAGAUGAUUGCUCUUCUCAAUAAGCAAACAAACAUGCUACGGUCUCUGACUGAACUUCAGGUUGAACACAUCUGUGCUUGUCUCCCCUUGCAGCCCAUAGAGAACUGCAUUCCAGGACUUCCCUACACUCCCCCCAAAACACAUUCCACGUAUCUUCCGGGGAGGCAGCAGUACCCCAGGCACUCCAUCCCCUGAGAGAUGACACACAAUGACAGUCACACAUACACCCAGCUGUGAGAGCCACAUGGGUGUAUGUGCUUGUGAUUCCUUGUUCCUUCCCCUUUAAAGAGACUUUCCCCUGUAUGUAUAAAAUUUACUUCAACAUUACAUAGUUACG